rnacentral:rRNA from 1 species
AUGGCCGCGGUUCGACACGCAAUGAGGAGGCUCGGCGGCUCCCUGCUCUGGCCAACGGCCACCUCACCGGCAGCGGCGGCGCCAAGGCGGCUCACGCACAGCGAAAGCUUGGCCUCGGAGCAAGCUCGUCACGAGGAGGUGCUGCGCAAGGUCCAGCAGAAGACGGACGAGCUGUACGAUGUGUUGUGCGAGGCGGAGCGGGACUUCUGCACGAGCAGCUGGCGCAACACGCGCAUGCUCCAGCACCUCUCCAUGAGGGUCACGCCGAGGCCGUGGGACUGGAGGUGGCGCAUCCGGCGCUUCAACAGAAGGUUUCACAAUGUGGCAGAGCUUGCCGGGUUUAUCUCGCUCUACUUCGGCUUGGAGGUGCUGAAACAAGAAGUCGAGGAAAAGGAAAAGCAUGCGGCCGAGGCAACGACGGUGUCCUGCCCGAUCGACUGA